rnacentral:rRNA from 1 species
UAAGCGGAGGAAAAGAAACUAACAAGGAUUCCCCUAGUAACGGCGAGUGAAGCGGGAAGAGCUCAAAUUUGAAAUCUGGUGGCCUCAGGUCAUCCGAGUUGUAAUCUAUAGAAGUGUUUUCCGUGCUGGCUCAUGUACAAGUCCCUUGGAACAGGGCGUCAUAGAGGGUGAGAAUCCCGUCCUUGACAUGAACUACCAGUGCUCUGUGAUACAUUUUCAACGAGUCGAGUUGUUUGGGAAUGCAGCUCAAAAUGGGUGGUAAAUUCCAUCUAAAGCUAAAUAUUGGCGAGAGACCGAUAGCGAACAAGUACCGUGAGGGAAAGAUGAAAAGCACUUUGGAAAGAGAGUUAAACAGUAUGUGAAAUUGUUGAAAGGGAAACGAUUGAAGUCAGUCGUGCUCUUUGGAUUCAGCCGGUUCUGCCGGUGUACUUCCUUUGAGUGGGGUCAACAUCAGUUUUGAUCGCUGGAUAAAGGCUGGAGGAACGUAGUACCCUCGGGUAAACUUAUAGCCUCCUGUCACAUACAGUGGUGGGACUGAGGAACGCAGCACGCCUUUAUGGCCGGAUUCGUCCACGA